rnacentral:rRNA from 1 species
CUGCUGCCUCCCGUAGGAGUCUGGGCCGUAUCUCAGUCCCAAUGUGGCCGGCCAACCUCUCAGUCCGGCUACUGAUCGUCGCCUUGGUGGGCCGUUACCCCACCAACUAGCUAAUCAGACGCGAGGCCAUCUUUCGGCGAUAAAUCUUUGACAUUCAGACCAUGUGGCCCAAAUGUAUCAUGCGGUAUUAGCAGUCGUUUCCAACUGUUGUCCCCCUCCGAAAGGCAGGUUCCUCACGCGUUACUCACCAG